AGCAGAGUCGUUUCGGAGAGGUGGCAGAGCGGUUGAAUGCACUGGUCUUGAAAACCAGCAAGGGUUAAUAGCCCUUCGUGGGUUCAAAUCCCACCCUCUCCGCCAGACCAGUGAAAGAGCCCCAACAGGGGCUCUUUUUUUUGGCGCGGCGUUGUGUGGGUGUCGGGUGGCGGUG
rnacentral:ncRNA from 1 species